rnacentral:lncRNA from 1 species
GUCUCGAUACAUAUCUUAUCGUUUAAUGUCCCCACCAUCUCUAUCGACACAAUGCGACCUAUGAUUAUUUUAUAAUAUCGAAGCCUUUCUUUCUGGACUCACCAAAGUUAAUUCAUGGAGUUGGGUUUCCAUCAAGUGUUCCUGGAAACCGAAGCGUGAGACAUGCGCUUUGACUUGAUGGCAUGACUUGCGUGGCUCUUUGUCCAAACACACAGCUUAUCAAAUCGGUCUUUUCAUGCCAUUAGUAUGAUUCACGUUUUGAUUCAGACUGCCGGAUCUACCUGCGAGCCAAUUGUUGGUUUAGUUGCAUUUUCUCGAGUAUGAUUCAUGUUUUUGAGAGAAUUUCUCGGAACUCGUGAGAGCGUAUAUAUCGAUCGAGCUAUUUAAAACUAUGUUUUUCUUAAUGUUAAGAAAAGGAUAAAUUCAAAACAAUCCAACUUUUUAUAUUUUUCUAGAACAGCAUGUUUUUUGUUUAUAUUUCUAUAGAACAUCUAUUAUUUCUUAAGAGAUAAAAUUAUCUUUGAUCUAUGUCCUUUUGAUCUUUGCCACCAUCCCAUCGUGAUCACCUCUGGGGUGGAGACAAAAGAGACAAAGGCAACAGGCAAAGGCGAAGACGGUGGAAUGACGGGACGGGGAUGGAGGUCGUAAUCAAUCGUGCAUGAACCAAAAAUAAUCUAAUUGUUUAGAAAAUAAAAAGUAUUUUAUCAGAACUAUCGUGAUAAGAGAAAGAUAAAUGUAUUUAAUCGACUCCAUCUAUUCGUAUGUUAUCGACCUUAAUGAAGAAGAUUUGACCCAUCAAGGUUUAAUCUUUUGAUAUCAGAACAACGAUAAAGAGAAAGUGAGAGAGAAGGAUCAAUAGAGAGAGAAAGGGUAAAUAGUCAAAGCAUCAUCGAGGAAGGAAGAAGCUAUGCCUAACUGUGACACCGCGUGUUUUACGUGGAAGGCGGCUCAAGCUGCCCCUACUGCAGUCCUGACGAAGACGCAAGAAGUCCGAUGAUGAGACGGCAACGUUGGGUCGAUCAUCAUCCCUCGUUUUGGUUGGACUUGGAUGAAAUGUCUACAUCUGAUGUGAUAUCUCAUUUAAAUGCGUCGAUUACGAAGUAAAUCAAAUUUGGACUGUAGGAUUCAAUAAAUCUUAUGGGAAUGUGGCAAUCGAUCAAAUUAGAAUUCAAUUAGAUAUAAAUUCAAGAACAUAAAAUAGAUAUAAAUCCAAUUUAAUUAAGUGAUUAUUUCUCAAGAACAAAAGGUAUUAGAAAAAGGAUCCAAUCUUCUAUUAAACUCUAACAGAAGGGAAAAAAGAAAGAUCAAAUUGUACUUUUAAUACCAUAAAAUAGAAGGAAAAACAAUAAAAAAAAAAAUUAGGUAGACGUAAGAACAGGAAGAACCAAACAAAAACCUGAUAUGCUUCUGCGGUUGCCACUGUCCUCGAAUUGACCAGAGAACACCUCCUCCUGCGUUCUUCUCGUGUUUGUUAAAAUGGCGACAAGAGCUUAGAAGCCAUCCGUGGCGGAAGAUUCCAGGAAUGGGGCGCGUCCGUCGCUUCGCAGCACGGAAUAUUCUGCUCGCGUUGUAAUUUUAUCUUGUGAUGAGUGACUGUAGGGAAACGAGAGAAGGAUGGGAGGUUAUAG